UCCAUCACAGCUGCCCAGGACGAAGGCUCCAUGGCCCAGGCUCCCUCGCUGCUGCGUGGGGCAGGAGGCACAGUGGCCUGGGCAUGCAGGUGCAAGUGCAGUGGGUGACCUUGGGGACGUGUGCUUAGAGGAAGGUGGCUUGACCUCUGCUGGCUGAGGAGAGGAUGGGGUGGUAAGACAUAAGCAGCUAUUGUCAGCAGAAGGUGGCACCCUGAGAUCCCAGCAGGUGGGAGAACAUGGAGGGGCGAAAUUGCCACCUGCCCGGACUGCCCACCUCCUGACGUUUACACAUCUAAGCUCUUAUGACUUCAGCCUUUCUCUUCCUCGAAGUCCAGCCUAACUCUAACUACUAUGACCUCUGAAUCACUGACGUUGUUAAGCCACAGGGCCUGGAGGAGGAGAGGGACUCGGGAAGUCAGAGGGCACCACGCCGCCCCUCCUCUGCACUUGGUCCUUCACCAACCUGGGCCGACAUGUCGAUCAGCCUUGGGAGUGACAAUCUGCUCCCUUCAUCCGUCUUCAAGAAAUCCAGCAGGCACCCUACGAAAAGAGAAGCUGCAGUAACCUGAGCCCGGGGGAGAGAAGAAACCGCUCAGAAGACAGAGACCUUGCUUGGAGGCGAUCGCUUAACCAAAAUCAGGGAAGUCCCUGUGCGCCCUGAAGGGCCGAAGACAACUCUACUCGCCUUUCUAGAGGAUCUGGGACUUGCCAGGGACCUGGGUGCAGCUCCUGCCAAAGGCACCUUGUGUAACAGCCCCAGGCAACGGAGGACUCGUGGACCAGUCCAGGGAUAAAACGGAACAUGAGUUUUCUAUCCUGAUGAAAAGCUAGCGGCCAGUGAGGACCAGGCACCGUAAUAGGGUUCAGUGCAACACAUGCAUCAACGGCCCCAGACUGGAAACAACCCGAUGCCCACAGCAUGAGAAUGGCUAACUUGGCUCUGGAACGGUCACACCUGAGAUUCUGCAGCAAUGAACAUGAACAGGCUUACCAUCCCAGCCACGUGCAUGAAUCUGUUACAGGCUGAAUCAUGUGUGCUCCCAAUUCCUAUGUGGAAGUCCUAACCCUCAGUCCUGAGAAUGUGGCCAUAUGUGGAGACAGGGCUUUAAAGGGGUGAUUAAGGUAAAAUGGGUUGGUAUGGGUGGGCCCUAAUCCAAUGCGACAGGUGUCCUCAUAAGAAGAGAUUAGGACACAGACACGCACGGAGGGACGGCCACAUGAGGACGGACAUGGAGAAGUCGGCUGUCUGCAAGCCGAGGAGAGAGGCCUUGGGAGCAGCCAAUGCUGCCGACACCUCGGUCUUGGGCUCCAAGCCUCCAGAGCUGUGACAUAACAAACUUCUGUCAUGGAGCCACCCAGUCUGUGCUACUUUGUUACGGCAGCCCAGAAAACUAACCCAGAAUCUCACAAACACUGCUGAGGGGCAGGAGAAAGUCACACAGAAACAAACGCAGUCAUUCUAUCUGCAUAAAGCUAAGAAACAGACAAGACCUGGUUGCAAAACUACAGAAAAGUGAGGAAGGGUUUCCACCCGAGUCAGAACAGCGGGCAGCUCCUGGGGGUGGGGGCUGAAUCAGGAGGAGCCCGAGUGGGGAAGUGAGGGGGGCUCCUGGUGGUCUGAGAUGCUCUAUCUCUUGGCCGUGGUUACACAGGGAUUUGUGUAUUAUUACCCUAUACAACUUAGAAUUACGCACUCAUACUUACGCAAGCUUUAUAUGUGUUUUUGGUUUUAUGCCAAAAAACAUUAGGAAGGAAAGAAAGCAAAUGACAGAGAAAGUGAGAAAAUCCUGAGGGUAGUGGCAGCAAAGUUUUGCUCAGUUAUCAGUCGAUUUAAACUCGUGUCUAGACUGGCAUGGGCUCCCCACAAUCACUACCCUUACGUCAGGCACAGACCACUUCCUAACCUAUGCUACCUGCAGCCUCUAGCUGAGAUAAUCUCCCAGGAUUCUUUUGAGCUCCCCCAAUCCUUGAUUCCAAAGAAGCUGAUGGUUGAGGGCUCAGGGUUCCCCCUGUCCAGGCCCCACUGGCCUUGCUGUUCCUGCUGACCAGGCAGCAUGGCCAGUCUGGCAUGGGGCCAUCCCCGUCCACCCGGCUUCCCAUGCCCGGGUGGUUUCCACCCUGGACAGGGAGGACUGCUUUUGUGGACAGCCCCCACCUCAACUCCUGGGCAGGGCCUGAAUUGGAAGGAACACAGGCCCAGAAGCUGCUGGUUCUCCUGGCAGUCACCCCUUCCCCUCUCACUCCAGGGCCAGGCCUCUGGAGAGGGCCUCUCGGGAUGCGCAGGGCAGGGAGGGCGGGCAAGGCCACCACGCCUACCUUUGUUGGUUUCACUCUCUCUGAUGAGAAAGGAGCCGGCCUUGUUGACUGGAGCCAGAAGCUGCCUCUCAGCCUCCUUCCGGCUCAGCGAUCUAAAGAACCACCUGGAAAACAGCAGGAACUGGUGAACCUCAGAGCAGACCUGCUCCUCGGAGUAUUCCCACUGAGCCUCCCUCCUGAGCUGCCCACCCCCAAGAAAUAAAGUCUAGCAUUUCUGCUCCCAAGUCGUCCCUGAGAUGCUGCUCCCCACACUGGGAUGGAGUCAGCGCCCUCUGUCCCCCUGCCCUUUCCGUCC